rnacentral:rRNA from 1 species
UACGAAGGGGGCUAGCGUUGCUCGGAAUUACUGGGCGUAAAGCGCACGUAGGCGGCUUUCUAAGUCGGGGGUGAAAGCCUGUGGCUCAACCACAGAAUUGCCUCGAUACUGGUUGGCUUGAGACCGGAAGAGGACAGCGGAACUGCGAGUGUAGAGGUGAAAUUCGUAGAUAUUCGCAAGAACACCAGUGGCGAAGGCGGCUGUCUGGUCCGGUUCUGACACUGAGGAGCGAAAGCGUGGGGAGCGAUCCGG